AAGUAAAGAAGGGAAGAGGAAGGAAAGGGGGGAAAAGUGUGAGAUUUUAAAGCAUGACACAUAGUUGGUGAGAGCAGACCUCACAGGCACUGGCAGUUUCCAGUGACAGAGGAUGGUGAGAAACAUGAGGUCCAGGGAGGUGAGAGACAGGCAUUAGGAUGGCAAUACAGGUAAAGAUACUUUGUAAUUUUGCUCUGAGACUUUGUUGUACUGACAACUAUCACCUCCUGGAAAUCAUUUUAAGCCCAUGGUGGCCUGUAUACACAAAGUGACACAUUGCUAGGAUCUGAAAUAUGCAAAGGCAGAGACCUUGCUUUAUGGAUCCUCAUUUAACUACUACCUUGAACCAAAAUGAAACAUUGUGGGUGCUCAGUGAAUGUUGGGUUGAAUAAGCAGUGCAGUUUGAAAAUGCUAGAAGCUCUGGGGUGUAUGGAGAAAUGUUCAAGGGUCAGAAGUCUGAAAGUACAUGGUAUAUUCUGGGAAUGAUGGAACAACAAGGAAGCCAUAAAUAGUAGGAAAUGAGACAAGGAAAUGAGAAUAUCAGCCAAGACUGUUGGUGCCAACAGCACCAAGCUACUUAAGGAAAGGGUAUGUAUUGAAAUUAUGUUGGUUAUCUGACAGUUGACAGGAAAGCUGGAGAACCUGCUUUGAAAAACAGGUAACCAAGGAAGGCCAGAUAGGUAAAAACAUGGCAAGAGUUAUGUGGCAGGAAUGUGUCCCAGGAUGUUGCUGCAGGCAGGUGCUGCUGGCUUUAAAUUCACAGAGCCACGGUCAUUGAGACCUGGACUGCCCUUUUGUCUCUGUACCACUCCUUGGAGCUCCAGGGCCCCAGGCAGGAGGACUUGUCUGGCAAGCCCCAGUUUUAUUGCCACAACCUGGUUGUCAUAGGCUGGGGGAGAGGGAGGAUCUGGCCCCUUUAGGUUCUAGUGAGAGCAGUUGGGCCCUGCAGGGAAUUUCCCACCAGAAAGAGUGUUCAGAAGUUAAGAAAAAGGAGAAAAAAAAAUAAUAGAUAAUAAAGAAAUUAUAAUUUCUCAGCCAGAUUAUGAUUUACUGUCCAUUCUGAACCAAGGAGCCAGAUUUUAUCCAGAAGGAAACCAAGCCAACAGAACUUUUCAUAAAAAGAGUGUGUCAUAUCCUUUUUCCUCUUUUAGAAAAAAAUUUAGGACCGUGCCAAAGCAGGCCGAGCAGGGUAGCUGUUUGGAAAGUUGCUAUAGUAGCAUGGGCCAGGAAUAAUGAAAGCCUGGAUUAAUUGGUGGCAGUGAGGAUGGAGGUCCUUGAUUCCAGAGAAGAGCCUGAGAAGUAGAACUUUUCUUGCUGAGUCAAACCCAGGGACUUGUUUACUUCCAGGUUAGAACCAUAUGCUAAACAAGUUAUGUUUAUAUGUUUGGUUGCUGGUGACUAGGAAAUUACCUGGUGUUGCAUUUAUUAGAUCUCUUCAUCAGCAUUUUCAGAAUUAUAUACUCUUGGCAACCACUAAAGAUAACCUAUUGAUGAACGUGGAAGUUUAAUCAUGCCUGAAUGAACUUACUUAUUUUCUCAGUCAAUCAUGACUUACAUUAUAGACUUUUUUCCUCUUAAACUGUGAAGUUUACUAUGUUUCCCAUUCUUCAUUUAUAAUAUUCUCUUUUAUAAUUAAGAACUUGUGCAGAAACUGAGAAGCCCUAACAAGUUAAUUAUAGUGACAUAAAUAAUAUAUUUUAAGAUGAUAUCAUUUACGUUUCCCAGAUUCUUAAGAAAGAGGUUAGGCCAAGUUAUGCACCUCAUUAAAAAAAGGUGGCACUUUGGUGUAUAUGAAUAUGGUAUCCAAGAUUUAGAGUACUCCAUUAGCUGUGCUAUGGCCCCUAAGUGAAAGCUAUAUUAAUGAAGACUAGUGUUUUCAGUUCAGAUGCUUCUUUAAAGUAUCAGACAAGGUCUCGAAAAUAGUCAUCUCUACUGGGAAGGGUACUAAGUGAAAACAAGAGCUGGAGGCAGUUGUGCAUGUAAGAGAAUUUUUGAAGAUGACUCAGUCUCCUUCUCUUCCCUACCCCUAGUGCCACACCUCCUAUAGAUGUAGAGGCCUCAUUUUUCCACUUGGAAAGCUAAUUUGUGCUGUGCUUGGCUCUGGCUAACUAAUCUGUGCUCUCUGAAAAUCCAGAACACCUGGUAACCAAAUCCAUGGCACUCAGGAUGGAUGUUUUCUCAGAACUAUUCAGGAAAGAAAACAGAAGUAGAAAAGAAUUCCCAGUCUGUUUCUUUUCCCAGGGGAACUGACCAGUUUCCCUUGCCUUGUGGAAUUUGUGAUGUGGUGGAUAGCUAGGCCGUGUGUUCUCAUAUCCUGUGAUCAGUUAACAUUUUUCAAAACCUCACUACUGAAAGGUUUUAAAAAUAUAUAAUGAAAAACAAAGUUUUUAAAAUAUGUCAUGUGAGUUGUAAAGACUUGGUAAAAGAAAAU
rnacentral:lncRNA from 1 species